UGAGUAACCUGCCCCAAACUCUGGGAUAAGCACUGGAAACGGUGUCUAAUACCGGAUAUGAGCUUCAGCCGCAUGGCUAGGAGUUGGAAAGAAUUUCGGUUUGGGAUGGACUCGCGGCCUAUCAGCUAGUUGGUGUGGGUAACGGCCCACCAAGGCGACGACGGGUAGCCGGCCUGAGAGGGUGACCGGCCACACUGGGACUGAGACACGGCCCAGACUCCUACGGGAGGCAG
rnacentral:rRNA from 1 species